rnacentral:rRNA from 1 species
GAUGAACGCUAGCGACAGGCUUAACACAUGCAAGUCGAGGGGCAGCACAGGUAGCAAUACCGGGUGGCGACCGGCGCACGGGUGAGUAACGCGUAUGCAACUUACCUAUCAGAGGGGGAUAACCCGGCGAAAGUCGGACUAAUACCGCAUGAAGCAGGGGUCCCGCCUGGGGUUAUUUGCUAAAGAUUCAUCGCUGAUAGAUAGGCAUGCGUUCCAUUAGGCAGUUGGCGGGGUAACGGCCCACCAAACCGACGAUGGAUAGGGGUUAUGAGAGGAAGGUACCCCACAUUGGAACUGAGACACGGACCAAACUGCUACGGGAGGCAGCAGUGAGGAAUAUUAGUCAAUGGCCGAGAGGCUGAACCAGCCAAGUCGCGUGAGGGAGGAAGGUUCUAUGGAUCGUAAACCUCUUUUAUAAGGGAAUAAAGUGCGGGACGGGUCCCGUUUUGUAUGUACCUUAUGAAUAAGGAUCGGCUAACUCCGUG